UGGGGAAUCUUGGACAAUGGGGGCAACCCUGAUCCAGCCAUGCCGCGUGAGUGAUGAAGGCCUUAGGGUCGUAAAGCUCUUUCGCCUGUGAAGAUAAUGACGGUAGCCGGAGAAGAAGCCCCGGCUAACUCCGUGCCAGCAGCCGCGGUAAUACGGAGGGGGUUAGCGUUGUUCGGAAUUACUGGGCGUAAAGCGCACGUAGGCGGACCAGAAAGUUGGGGGUGAAAUCCCGGGGGCUCAACCCCGGAACUGCCUCCAAAACUAUUGGUCUAGAGUUCGAGAGAGGUGAGUGGAAUUCCAAGUGUAGAGGUGAAAAUUCGUAGAUAUUUGGAGGAACACCAGUGGCGAAGGCGGCUCACUGGCUCGAUACUGACGCUGAGGUGCGAAAAGUGUGGGGAGCAAACAGGAUUAGAUACCCUGGUAGUCCACACCGUAAAACGAUGAAUGCCAGUCGUCGGGUAGCAUGCUAUUCGGUGACACACCUAACGGAUUAAGCAUUCCGCCUGGGGAGUACGGUCGCAAGAUUAAAACUCAAAUGAAUUG
rnacentral:rRNA from 1 species